UACGUAGGGUGCGAGCGUUAAUCGGAAUUACUGGGCGUAAAGCGUGCGUAGGUGGUGCGUUAAGUCUGUCGUGAAAGCCCCGGGCUCAACCUGGGAACUGCAUUUGUGACUGCAUGGCUAGAGUACGGUAGAGGGGGAUGGAAUUCCGCGUGUAGCAGUGAAAUGCGUAGAUAUGCGGAGGAACACCGAUGGCGAAGGCAAUCCCCUGGACCUGUACUGACGCUCAUGCACGAAAGCGUGGGGAGCAAACAGG
rnacentral:rRNA from 1 species